GUGUUUACAAAUCAGUUCUUUUUUAUUUUAAAUCUUUCUGAGGGGAGUUAUGUUAUUUACCAUAUAUAUAAUAUAUAUAUAAAGUAUAUAGAGAGAUUGUUUAUUUGUAAAUAGAAAAAUCCUAUGGAGAAGAAUGUCAAGUUUUCACACUUUAAAAAAAAAAAUCAUCAACAUAAAGCCAUGUUUAGUGCUUGUAUAAUGUGAUGCAAUAAACUUUAAAAUAAAUUAUGCAUAUGAAAUAUUUGCUGCUUGGCAUUCAUAAGUUAUUUUCUGUUUACCUUAUUUGUUCAGCAACCAAAGAGGCCAGUCAGAUGGAAGCAAAUUUAAAUGUAGACCAAAGUCUUGUCUCUACUGUCUCACUGUGGAUUCUUUGUGCAUUCCUAUAGUCCAACAUUGCUCCUGUUGUGGUUUUAGUUCUUUUUUUAAUGUUCCUACUUGUUUUACCUCUUGACCCUGCCAGAUGCAGCAUGUUAUUUGGACGGCACAGAGUGCUCCCAUUCCCAUGGAAUUCGUCAGUUUUGAGCAUCCUGCAUUUCUUUGUCAGGUGAGCUUUUAGCUCGGAGGGACGAAGGAUUAGGGUGCAGGAGUGUGAUGGAGACACCAAGAAUUAUCUUGCUGCUCUUACACAGACAAGGCCCUGCCUGAGAAUCCAGCUAGCAGAGGACAGUAUAUGAUCUCAGAGAAAAUAAUAUUCAAAAUUAAUUAAUUGCUUUAAUUAAUGAUGCCAAUUAAAACAAGAAGUAUAUAGAAAAAAGUAAAGCAGAAAGAGUCACUUUGUAGCUGUGCAGCAAUCAUGGGAGGUUAGUUAGCAAGAUAUGGGGUAUUUACUGGUGUCAUUUGCAAAGCUUAAGAACGUUUGCCUCUAAACUCCUUAAAGCAAGAUACUCUCCCCUGUGAAAACUCAUCUUGAUGUUGUGAUUGUGGACCAAUAGAUAUCACUUGGCCUAAACUUUCACUUAUAUCAAAAUUAGAGUUCAAUGAGUGUUCAGUGCUCAAAUAGCGACUUCAAGCAAUAAGUGAAGAUCAGUUGGUCAUUUGCAUGUUUUCUCUGUUUUAAACAAUUAUGUGAAAUCAAAGCACUGAGAAAAAAAAAAA
rnacentral:lncRNA from 1 species